ensembl:lncRNA
AAGCCUAUAUCUUAUAUUUAUAGUAAACACAGAGACUAUGCGGUUGAGUCUGACUGCUCAAUAAAAUCCUCAUGUAUUAAACUUAAAGUAAAACACAGAUCGAUAGGCGGUAUAAGCAUCAAAUUCAAUCAAUCAUUUAAUCAUGACCUAUAGUUGUCUGUAUUUUACCUGUUAUUGACUGGGCACAGGUGUAGUCAGUGCCUGUUACGUUUGGACCAUAUGUCACACACAGUUGCUGAGACGGAAGAUUAUAUUUAUAUUUUCAAAAUAAAUAUUCAAAAUCAACACUCAAGAGAGAAAUACUAAUAUUUGUGUCAACUUCCAAGCAAGUCAGUCAGACAAGACAGACAAACUUGUUUUGGAAAUGCUUCUGCUUGCGAAGGACUGCGGAAGUGCUGCCGUUGUUUUUCAUCCUUCAGCGGCAAUGCAGUGUUUUCUGAGUUUGGCCUAAAUGCUAUUUCCAGAUUAUGGUACACAGUACUGGGUUAUUAGCCGCGUUAGAGGUAAAAGUCCCUCGGAAAGGUUACUGGUGCUGCGCGAGGAUUUAGAUAGUCCAUCUGUCAUGAUGCGCAGGGCUUGUCGCCUUUUUCUGCUGUUUUUUUUUUCUGUCUUCUUUUUUUCUCCGACUAGCGGUAUGUGGAAUCUCUCGCACUGCGAUCUACCUACAUCCUUCCGAAAAUAAUAUUCCGAAUAAAGGAAUAAAAAUCACACAGAAAUAAAACAGAAUAGCCAAAAUAUUCGGAUCCAGAGAUAUUCAGAUAGAUUCUGCAGGUCUGGGGUCCUUAUCUGCUAUGCAGUAACUUCACCAGUCAGUCUGUGAGCCAGUGUGAUGUAACAACAUCAGCAUAGGCAGCACCAGCGCAGGGGAGAGCGGAGGGGAAGGAGGAUAUGUAGGAUAUGUUGAUGAAUGAACGAGCAACAGAAUCGGCCAGUUUAAUGAGAGGACCGGAAGAGGCCGGACGCGGAAGCAGCAGGAGCAAUGUGGUAGGUUGCUCCCAUCAACUGCAGUGUCCAUCAGCAGGGCCAGCAGACCAUGUGAAGAGCCGUGUGGCUGAGAAUGCUGCAGAACGUUACCUGACCCAGCCUGGGAUGAUGAUGAUGAUGAUGUAGACUAGUGGGAUGGAGAGAGACUGGAAGGAUGCUCAGUCUAUUAUGCGACAGACAUGAUGAGUUACAGAUCAUCAAGGACAACAACCACCUGAAGCCACGGCCUGUUCACCCCGCUACCAUCCAGAAGACCA